rnacentral:rRNA from 1 species
GUGAGGAAUAUUGCGCAAUGGAGGCAACUCUGACGCAGCCAUGCCGCGUGCAGGAAGAAGGCGCUACGCGUUGUAAACUGCUUUUAACCGGGAAGAAACCCCAGGACGUGUCCUGGGUUGACGGUACCGGAGGAAUAAGCACCGGCUAACUUCGUGCCAGCAGCCGCGGUAAUACGAAGGGUGCAAGCGUUAUCCGGAUUCAUUGGGUUUAAAGGGUGCGUAGGCGGAGCGUUAAGUCAGUGGUGAAGUCCUGCAGCUUAACUGUAGACUUGCCAUUGAUACUGGCGCUCUUGAGUGCGCUUGAAGUGGGCGGAAUGUGCCGUGUAGCGGUGAAAUGCUUAGAUAUGGCACAGAACACCAAUUGCGAAGGCAGCUCACUAAGGCGAUACUGACGCUGAGGCACGAAAGCGUGGGGAUCGAACAGGAUUAGAUACCCCAGUAGUCC